AGAGGUGUAGUUCAAUGGUAGAACGUUGGUCUCCAAAACCAAGCGUUGAGGGUUCGAUUCCUUUCACCUCUGCCA
rnacentral:tRNA from 1 species